GACCUCAGAGCAGGUGAGACUACCCCCUAUUUUAACCCCUAAUUUUAAGCAU
rnacentral:rRNA from 1 species